CCAAGUCGAACGGCAGCGCGGGGAGCUUGCUCCCUGGCGGCGAGUGGCGGACGGGUGAGUAACGCGUGGGAUUCUGCCCAGUAGUGGGGGACAACCCGAGGAAACUCGGGCUAAUACCGCAUACGCCCUACGGGGGAAAACGGGGGAUCUUCGGACCUCGUGCUAUUGGAUGAGCCCGCGUCGGAUUAGCUUGUUGGUGGGGUAAAGGCCUACCAAGGCGACGAUCCGUAGCUGGUCUGAGAGGACGACCAGCCACACUGGGACUGAGACACGGCCCAGACUCCUACGGGAGGCAGCAGUGGGGAAUAUUGGACAAUGGGCGCAAGCCUGAUCCAGCAAUGCCGCGUGUGUGAAGAAGGCCCUAGGGUUGUAAAGCACUUUCAGUCGGGAAGAAACGCAGGGUGUUAAUACCACCCUGUAAUGACGUUNCCGACAGAAGAAGCACCGGCUAACUCCGUGCCAGCAGCCGCGGUAAUUACGGAGGGUGCGAGNGUUAAUCGGAAUUACUGGGCGUAAAGGGCGCGUAGGUGG
rnacentral:rRNA from 1 species